GUUUUUUUUGCACGAUAAUAUUGACAAGUACUAACGUUUUGAGCUAAUUACCUUUUAAAAAAGUCCCCGUAAUGGGCACCCAAAACUCCGAAAGAGAAUGCAAAAAAUCAAUGACUAAGUAGAAGCUAUCAUAUUAGUUCAGUACCCAAACAAGUUUUUUACCCACGGGAAAACCAUGGAAACACACGUGAAAUAGCACUUAUCAGGUUUAUUUAUAAUAGUAGAGCUUCAUAUUAGGACAAAUACUUGUUUUAUUCAAUUCGGACGAACUUCAAUUCCUUUGAUGAUAAUAAGACUAGACUUCGGAUUGCGUUGCGUUCCUCCUUCUCAAAGAGUCACAUUUCUACCUGACCUUAUCUUCCUCGCCAGGGGUGAAAUCUCCAAGUUUAAUCUCCUUCCACCCAUAGUUUAGAGGUCGUGGAACCUGUCCAACGUUAGCUCCUAUUUUAUUGAUGAGGAAACCAUCGGUAGCUUGAUGAUCUAUUCCUAAAGCCACGUCCUCAGCAAACCUAACUAUUGCUUUGGCUCACUCUAGGCCCUUCGACCCUUCUUUGAGCUUGAACACAAGAUACACAUUAUAACGUGUAUUUUUAACCAAGUUUUUUUUGCAUCUAUCCUCCCACCAAUAUCGAGCAAAGUCGCAUUUCAAAGCUCGACCACCAUGGUGCUACACUAUAUGCAACCAACAUAUAAAUUGCUCAUGGUCUUCAAUGAAAUUUACAGAUUGUUUAUCAUUGUAUGAAUAAGCAUUUACAUAAACCACCUCAUCUAUAUUGUUAGAGAUGGGAUAACCUUAUUUACUUCAUUAGAUAAAGGAAAAGUAAUGAUCAACAUAUUGAGAGUGAGAGAGAGAACUUUAUGCAGCCUGGAGGAUGAGUCGAUAUCCACCCUUCUUUCUCUUUGUGAAUAAUAAGCUGCUGUGCUGGUAUCCACUUGCUCUUGCUCUACACAAAAUCCAUCGUCAAUUGUAUUAACAAAUGUCUCUAUAUUUUUCAAUUCAAUAUAAAUAACUUUUUUAGUUUUAAUUAUAACCUACACGAAUUAGAUACAAACUUAAAAGUUCAAGAAUUAAGUUACUUGUACAGACAGAAAGUUUGAUGGAUGUUGAGAUGGCAUGCACCUCAGCCCUUUAUUUUGAAUUUAAAUUAAUGCUAAGUGUACAUCCUUUGGUUUAGAUGUUCGUGUACGCUCUGUUGGAAUUCAAAAAGCGUUGGGCAAUAACUGUGUUUUUGAACUAUCCAACCAUGUGUCACUACAUGGCACAAUGUCAAAAAUGAUGUGAAAAAAUAUAGACAUGUAGCAUAAUUGUUGAAUUUAUGAAGUUCAAACCAAGUGCUAAGGUGCAAGGCACUGUCAAAAAGAUCGUACAAGUAACAGAGCUCAAAGUUCAAUACAAGAAUGAAUAUAUAAUACAUACCAUUGUGCUUUGUACCAACACCUCUGCUUCUCCCUUAUCU
rnacentral:lncRNA from 1 species